UGAACGCUGGCGGCGUGCCUAAUACAUGCAAGUCGAGCGAACGGACGAGAAGCUUGCUUCUCUGAUGUUAGCGGCGGACGGGUGAGUAACACGUGGAUAACCUACCUAUAAGACUGGGAUAACUUCGGGAAACCGUAGCUAAUACCGGAUAAUAUUUUGAACCGCAUGGUUCAAAAGUGAAAGACGGUCUUGCUGUCACUUAUAGAUGGAUCCGCGCUGCAUUAGCUAGUUGGUAAGGUAACGGCUUACCAAGGCAACGAUGCAUAGCCGACCUGAGAGGGUGAUCGGCCACACUGGAACUGAGACACGGUCCAGACUCCUACGGGAGGCAGCAGUAGGGAAUCUUCCGCAAUGGGCGAAAGCCUGACGGAGCAACGCCGCGUGAGUGAUGAAGGUCUUCGGAUCGUAAAACUCUGUUAUUAGGGAAGAACAUAUGUGUAAGUAACUGUGCACAUCUUGACGGUACCUAAUCAGAAAGCCACGGCUAACUACGCG
rnacentral:rRNA from 1 species